rnacentral:rRNA from 1 species
GAUGAACGCUGGCGGCGUGCCUAAUACAUGCAAGUCGAGCGAACAGACGAUGAGCUUGCUCCUCUGACGUUAGCGGCGGACGGGUGAGUAACACGUGGAUAACCUACCUAUAAGACUGGGAUAACUUCGGGAAACCGGAGCUAAUACCGGAUAAUAUAUUGAACCGCAUGGUUCAAUAGUGAAAGACGGUUUUGCUGUCACUUAUAGAUGGAUCCGCGCCGCAUUAGCUAGUUGGUAAGGUAACGGCUUACCAAGGCAACGAUGCGUAGCCGAACUGAGAGAGUGAUCGGCCACACGGGAACUGGGACACGGUCCAGACUCCUGCGGGAGGCAGCAGUAGGGAAUCUUCCGCAGUGGGCGAGAGCGUGGCGGAGCAAGGGCGCGUGAGUUAUGAAGGUGUUCGGAUCGUGAAAAUCGGUUAUUAGGGAAGAACAAAUGUGGAAGUAACUAUGCACGUCUUGACGGUACCUAAUCAGAAAGCCACGGCUAACUACGUG